rnacentral:rRNA from 1 species
AACGAACGCUGGCGGCACGCCUAACACAUGCAAGUCGAACGAAGCAUAAGAGCUUGCUCUUAUGACUGAGUGGCGCACGGGUGAGUAACACGUGGGAAUCUGCCUAUUGGUGGGGAAUAACUUUUGGAAACGAAAGCUAAUACCGCAUAAGCCCUAAGGGGGAAAGAUUUAUCGCCAAUAGAUGAGCCCGCGCUAGAUUAGCUAGUUGGUGAGGUAAGAGCUCACCAAGGCUACGAUCUAUAGCUGGUCUGAGAGGAUGGUCAGCCACACUGGGACUGAGACACGGCCCAGACUCCUACGGGAGGCAGCAGUGGGGAAUAUUGGACAAUGGGGGAAACCCUGAUCCAGCGAUGCCGCGUGAGUGAAGAAGGCCUUCGGGUUGUAAAGCUCUUUCAGAGGGGAUGAUAAUGACGGUACCCUCAGAAGAAGCACCGGCUAACUUCGUGCCAGCCGCCGCCGUAA